UACGUAGGGUGCGAGCGUUGUCCGGAUUCAUUGGGCGUAAAGCGCGCGUAGGCGGCUUCGCAAGUCGGCCGUGAAAUCUCCAGGCUCAACCUGGAGGGGUCAUUCGAUACUGCCGUGACUAGAGUUCGGUAGAGGAGUGUGGAAUUCCUGGUGUAGCGGUGGAAUGCGCAGAUAUCAGGAGGAACACCAAUAGCGAAGGCAGCUCGCUGGGACGGUACUGACGCUAAGGCGCGAAAGCGUGGGGAGCGAACAGG
rnacentral:rRNA from 1 species